GCAAGUCGAGCGGAAACGAAGAGGUGCUUGCACCUCUGGCGUCGAGCGGCGGACGGGUGAGUAAUGCUUGGGAAUAUGCCUUAUGGUGGGGGACAACAGUUGGAAACGACUGCUAAUACCGCAUGAUGUCUACGGACCAAAGUGGGGGACCUUUGGGCCUCACGCCAUAAGAUUAGCCCAAGUGGGAUUAGCUAGUUGGUGAGGUAAUGGCUCACCAAGGCGACGAUCCCUAGCUGGUUUGAGAGGAUGAUCAGCCACACUGGGACUGAGACACGGCCCAGACUCCUACGGGAGGCAGCAGUGGGGAAUAUUGCACAAUGGGCGCAAGCCUGAUGCAGCCAUGCCGCGUGUGUGAAGAAGGCCUUCGGGUUGUAAAGCACUUUCAGUAAGGAGGAAAGGUUAAGUGUUAAUAGCACUUAGCUGUGACGUUACUUACAGAAGAAGCACCGGCUAACUCCGUGCCAGCAGCCGCGGUAAUACGGAGGGUGCGAGCGUUAAUCGGAAUUACUGGGCGUAAAGCGUACGCAGGCGGUUUGUUAAGCGAGAUGUGAAAGCCCCGGGCUCAACCUGGGAACUGCAUUUCGAACUGGCAAACUAGAGUGUGAUAGAGGGUGGUAGAAUUUCAGGUGUAGCGGUGAAAUGCGUAGAGAUCUGAAGGAAUACCGAUGGCGAAGGCAGCCACCUGGGUCAACACUGACGCUCAUG
rnacentral:rRNA from 1 species